CUCUGGAGGCGUGGCUUCGGAGGUAUCGCGGAGCCUCGGGGAAGAACGGCAGCAUCACAAACUGCAGGAUGGCAGGAAUGCCACUAACAGCCAAGAGAUAAGGCCACAUGUCUUCUGUUCCCAUCAUCUCCCUGAAGAGAGAGCGAUGAGUCGGGAAGAGAAAGAGGCAGCAAAUCCAAGAAUCGACACCUAGAACCAAAGAGAGCGGUUGUGUUCCUCACCGGCCGUAAGUGACGGGAAGGCUGCCGCUGUGAAUGGCUCCGGUCCAGGCUCCAAGACUUAACACGGCCACGAUGAAGGACCAGAUGAGCUUGUUGGCUGAUUCCUCCACGGGAACUUGGUACCUCAACAUCCAUGUGUAGUUCACAAAACUGUGAACAUGCUGAGAUAAGGCAUAAUGAUCACUGUUGUGGGCUUAUUUUGCAUCUGUAAAAA